rnacentral:lncRNA from 1 species
AAAUCCAUCCUUGGCGCCAGAAAGUCAACUGGGAGAUGCCACCUAGAUCGAAUUGAACUCCUCGAUGUGUGGCUCCACCUGAACCACCUGUUCUUCUUCUGUGGGGGGUGUGAGACAGCAAGGGUGAGCUCACACAUGUUCAUCGCUCAACAAGUUGUGGGGAAUAAUGUGGCAUGAACUCACCAAAGGUGGAAGUUCAUGUGAUGUGUAAGGCUGAUCAAUAAUAGAGGUUCAAGCUGAGCACUGCUUUUAAUAAGUUGGUCAAAUUUUAUUAGUAGUUACUAAAUGUAAGUAAAUACCAAACCAUAAUAAAUAAUAAUAGAACAAAAUUAAUAAUAAAUCUCAUGUAAUGCAUAUGACAAAUUGAGUUUAAGUUUCAUAAUUUAAUCAUGCGAGAGCCCUGAGCUGCUCAUGACCGUGAGCUCGGCUAGUAUACCAGUUUUACACUCUGCAGAGGUUGUACCCUGUACCCACAAGUCGUGUAUCCCAUGUCGCCAGGGUUUGCAAGGCCCUUAGACACUACCGAGGUGAAUGGCUAGGGAUCCACUACAAGGCCUUUACAAAGUUCCAAUAGCUUCCGAAAACCCGCUACAGCUUAUGGGAAGAGCACUUGCAAGAAUCCCCCAUCUGACCGCCAUCACAGCAAAAUCAACCCGAGAACCUCCUUGCAUGCAACUCCCCUACUGCCCUUACCCCUUUCAGGUAAGGUAGUCUUCCACUAGCUUUCCUAAUUAGUCAGCCAAGGGCGUCCCAUUCCACCCUUGUGGUGGCACGUGUUUCUCAAGUUAAGCUCAAUGUUCCAAUUAACAUUAAUGAUCUUGACAUGAACAUAAAUAAAAUAACAACAUAAUUGGAACAUGGAUAUAAUGAAAUAUUAACCCAAAACCAUAUAAUGCAAUAGCAUAACUACCCAAGUGAAUCAGGGAUAAACCAGGUAAACAGGAUAAACAGACUAGGGCGACCUAUUGGGACCCAUCAAAAUUAAACCCAUGCAUUGAAUAAUGAUAAUAAAGAAUAUUAUUAGGUAACAGAAGUGAUCAAGGGCACAAUUUGCCUGGCACUUGAGAUUCCAGGUACCAGGGAUGAUUCUUCAAAUCCUCGUGACCUCACGCUAGUCGUAGCAAUACAAACAAACAUGGUAUAGACAAAAUUAACAUCACACCGUACAUAAGAAUAAAAUGGAUAAUAAUGAUGAUCUACGCGAAGCUACAAGAUCGUGGGAUCGAGAUCUACUAAGAUCAGAGUCAUAGUUAGGAGGUUAUGAUCUAUGGAAGAUUGUGGCAGCCCUCCCAAGUUAUCAGACCCUCAUGCACCAAUCCUUGCCUUGAUGGCCUCAGAUGGCUAUGCACGUGUACCAGGUAACAUAAAAAGGCUAUCACGAGUUCAACCACUUGAACUCAUCAUCCCAAGGAUCUCCCACCAUACAUGCAUAUUAGAGUAAUCACGUUCGAUACACACACUUUGGAGAUAAGAGCGGAAGACUUUACAAACAAUCUUUACUGUUGAGGACAUCACUAUGAGUACGACUACACCAGCAGCACCUCCACAUCAAGCGCCACUUCCUUCAUUAGCUGGGCCAAUCACUCGGGCCCGUGCCAGAGAUCUUAACUUCGUCAUGCUACUAAAGAAUGAGGGCCCAGAAGAAUAGACGACCAGCCCAACUGCGGCCCAUAGUGGACGACCUAGGGUUGGCCGCCCCUAGGGGCUGCGCCCCCUCUAUUUAUCCAGGAGCUACGCCUCCUUUAUUCUCGAGUUUUGUUUUACGUUAGCCUUAGCUACUCUCGAACACGCGCAAAUCUGCGCUGUAUUCGUGUAUUCAGAACUCCACCCUCGAGUAAUAGAUUAGAUUGCUCGUAUCUUGUUCUUGUUCGUUCUUCGAUUGCGCACAGGAAACGAUCUUCGUGAUCAGGCCGAUCUCGCAUCAGCAAGGUCGGUAACCAUAGGGAGUUGGUUCAGCGAUUGCAUUGGCGCCUCGGGCUUGCUCGUCGUAGUCGGAUCGCAAGGGUCAUCUUCCGCCAAAUCGUAAUUAUCUCUACUCGCCGAAAGAUCGGGCACCUCAGCUACAUCAAUUGGUAUCAGAUUUCCAGGUUGAUCGGUGAGUUUAUCGAGCGUUUUUUUCCUACAGUCCACAAAACCACAUAAAAAUUCAGAUUAGAUCUUAUCCCAGCACCCUUUUGAGCCUCGCACUUUCUUUCAAUAAUCUGCAUUGUUGAAUUUGUGUGCUUUCGCGUUUCCUUGUUGCUGGUUGCAUUGUGUUCUUCCACCAUUCAAAUCCUAGCGCCGCCACCAUCUCCCGUUUGAUCACGCCACAAACCGAGUCAACAUCGUCUCCUUGUUUUUCUCCUUCGGUUACGUCAAAAAGAAAACAGAAAAAACAAACCGAGUCAACGGCCGUUUCCUUGUUUUUCUCCUUCGGUUACGAAAAAAAACAGAAAAAAAAACAAACCGAGUCAACAACCGCUUCCUUGUUUUUCUCCUUCGGUUACUCAAAAAAAACAGAAACAAAAAAAAGAAAACGAAGGAGAAAGGAUACGGUUGUUUCAUUCCGGUCGUUUUUAAAACAUAACUUGAGGUACCUUCCGUAAAACGGGCAUAACUUUUCGCUCGGGUGUCCAAAAAAUCUGAAAUUUUUACAGGAGCUUGUUGACACCAUUCUGAGCCCGGCCAAACUCACCUUCGGUCUGUUUGGUUUCGACAAAAUUGUCAAAAAAUUCAGGAAAAUAAAGAAAAAAAUUCGUCAAAGUUCUCGCACGCUUUUCAGAGAACUUCCUGAUUUUCUGUAGACCACAUCUGAUUUCUGCUUUAGGUGAAACUUCGUGUAGCUCCUAUUUUGUUGCUUCUUGUGCUGAGAAAAAUAUCAAAAAAAUCAUACAAAAAAAGAAAAACAAAAUCACUUGUGAUUCCUACUAGUGGCCUCGCUAGUACAAUAUUUACGGUACUGCCAUUCUGCUAGUUCCAUCCGUCCUUUGCACUUGUGGCCAGCAAUAUAGUUUCGUGUUUUGCACUAUAAUUCAACUUUGCAUUAUUGUUUGAUCGUGCUAAUCCUUGACUUGAGUGCAGCCUACCCAAAACUCCACAUAUUUCUACGACGAGAAGGUUUCUGUUUCUCCAGGCAAUCGCUAAUCCAAUCUUUCACCGGUUCCACCUGUUGGUUGCAGUUCACCACUGUGGUUUGGUAAGAACGGAUAAGAACUUGAUAACAGCACUAUUGUGAGCGCCUUGUGAGCAGUACACCCCUGUUUUUGUCGUUGGUUUUUCUCCUUUUGGUGUUUUGGUGUUUGCGCUAACUAUGGCAGGAGCACACGACAUGGUGGAUGCCCAGUUGCAGGAAGUCAGGGGACAAGUUGAUGGACUUGCUGCUGACAUUAGAACGAUGCAUGAACGGCUUGAUUCAACGGUCACUUCGACGACCGAGCGUUUCAACCAACUUGACCUUGCUCAAACGGCGACUCGCACCACACUCGACACCAUCCUGGCACGCCUUGAUGCAUUGACCACAAAGAUGGAGCAAGAAUACGGCGGUGACACUGAGCAGGACGAUGGAGAUCGCCGUGGUCGUGCACGUCGUGUGGUUCGUCAUCCCCCUAAUGACUUAUUUUCUAAGAUUAAAUUUAAAAUUCCAUCUUUUAAUGGUAAAUAUGAUCCUGCUGCAUAUCUUGAUUGGGAAUUGGAGGUAGAACAGAAAUUUUCAUGCCAUGAUAUUCCUGCUAAUAGCCAAGUGAAGGCUGCCAUUAGUGAAUUUACUGAUUUUGCUUUAAUUUGGUGGCGUGAGUAUAAACAAAAACUUCCCAUUAACAGUGUCAUUACUUGGACCCAAUUAAAAACUGCCAUGCGCCACAGAUUUGUUCCUUCCUAUUAUGCUCGUGAUUUGCUUAACAAAAUGCAGUGUUUUCAACAAGGUUCACAAUCUGUUGAGGAAUAUUACCAGGAGUUGCAAAAGGGUAUGCUUCGUUGUGGUUUGGUUGAGUCAGAUGACGCUGCUAUGGCGCGUUUUCGUGGUGGUUUAACAGGGAAAUUCAGGAUAUACUUGAUUAUAAGGAUUAUUUUGAUAUAACCACAUUGUUUGAAUAUGCUUGCAAAGCUGAACGUGAAGUGCAGGGACGACGAUCAAAGACAUAUACUAACUCUUUUGCAGGCCGGGGUCCAACACACAGCUCAACUCCUUCCAGCCCUGCACCUUCUACGCCUAGCACUACAUCGCGCACAGGGACGACCAAGCCAGUGGCGCCCCCUGCCAAAGGCGCCGCUUCUUCCACAGGACGUACACGGGAUAUUCAGUGCCAUCGUUGCAGAGGGUUUGGGCACAUGAUUCGGGACGGCCCAAACAAGCAUACCUUGCUUAUACGUGACAAUGGUGAGUACUCUUCAGCUAGUGAUUCUGAGGAAACUAGUCAUGCUAUGAUUGCCACUAACCAUGCAGAAAAUGAGGAAGUCCACGUUGAUCCCAUCGACGCCGAUAGGUAUGAGAGUCUUGUUGUGCAGCGUGUUCUCAGCACACAGGUUGCCCAGGCCGAAAAAAAUCAGCGACACACUCUAUUCCAUACCAAGGGCGUCGUGCACGAACGGUCGAUUCGCAUCAUCAUCGAUAGUGGCAGCUGCAACAAUUUGGCAAGUACAGCGUUGGUAGAGAAAUUAUCCUUGCCCACUCGCACACAUCCACAUCCGUAUCACAUUCAAUGGCUUAAUGAUGGUGGUAAAAUAAAGGUAACACGUUCGGUACGUGUCCCCUUUUCGCUGGGUUCUUAUUCUGAUUAUGCUGAUUGCGAUAUUAUUCCUAUGGAAGCAUGCUCUUUGUUAUUAGGUCGACCUUGGCAAUAUGAUACUGAUAGUUUACAUCAUGGUCGUUCAAAUCAUUAUUCUUUCAUGUUUAAAGGCCAGAAAAUAAUUAUACAUCCAAUGACCCCUGACCAAAUUUUGAAAGAUGAUCUUACUAGGGCUGCUAAAACUGCACAACAAGUCAAAUCGACAUCAGCCGCACCUAUUAAAUCUGAAAUCAAGUUGCACUCUCCUGUUUUACUUGCUACACGUGCUGAUUUUGAUGAUCUCCAUGAAGCUCAUAUGCCCUGUUAUGCACUUGUAUGCUCGCGAAUGCUUGUUCCGCUUGAUGAUGCACCGUCUUUGGAUAUACCCCCUGCUGUUGUUAACCUUUUGCAGGAGUAUGCUGAUGUUUAUCCUACGGACUUACCACCGGGUCUUCCUCCCCUCCGUGGCAUUGAGCAUCAGAUCGAUCUCAUCCCCAGCGCUUCUCUUCCGAACCGCGCCCCGUACCGUACAAAUCCAGAUGAGACGAAGGAGAUCCAGCGCCAGGUGCAGACGCUGCUUGAUAAGGGUUACAUUCGUGAGUCUCUUAGCCCUUGCUCGGUUCCUGUUUUACUCGUUCCAAAGAAAGAUGGGUCAUGGCGUAUGUGCGUAGAUUGUCGUGCUAUUAAUAACAUCACAGUUCGUUAUCGAUAUCCUAUUCCACGCCUUGAUGAUAUGCUAGAUGAGCUUAGUGGUGCCGUUAUUUUCUCUAAGGUUGAUUUGCGUAGCGGUUACCAUCAGAUUAGAAUGAAACUCGGUGAUGAAUGGAAAACGGCUUUUAAAACGAAAUUUGGUUUAUAUGAAUGGUUGGUUAUGCCAUUUGUAUUGACUAAUGCUCCCAGCACCUUUAUGCGUUUAAUGAACGAAGUUCUACGGGCCUUCAUAGGUUUGUUUGUUGUUGUUUAUUUCGAUGAUAUCCUUAUUUACAGCAAGUCUAUAGAGGAGCAUUUAGAACAUUUGCGUGCUGUUUUUGACGCUUUGCGUGCUGCUCGCUUGUUUGGUAACAUGGAAAAGUGCACAUUUUGCACGCAACGUGUCUCGUUUCUUGGUUAUGUGGUUACUCCGCAGGGCAUUGAGGUGGAUAGCAGCAAGAUUGCUGCCAUUCGGGAGUGGCCUACACCGACGACGGUCACACAAAUUCGGAGCUUUCUUGGACUUGCCGGUUUCUACCGCAGAUUUGUUCGUGAUUUUAGCUCCAUUGCAGCGCCUCUACAUGAGCUUACAAAGAAAGAUGUGUCGUUUGCUUGGAGUGAUUCGCAGGAGUUAGCGUUCAGCACUUUGAAAGAUAAGUUAACCCAAGCUCCCCUCUUGCAAUUGCCUGAUUUUAAUAAAGUUUUUGAGCUUGAAUGCGAUGCUAGCGGUAUUGGGCUAGGUGCUGUUUUGUUACAAUAAGGAAAACCAGUUGCUUAUUUUAGUGAAAAAUUAAGCGGUGCUAGUCUGAAAUAUUCUACUUAUGAUAAGGAGCUUUACGCUUUAGUGCGCACUUUGCAUACUUGGCAGCACUAUCUUUGGCAUCGUGAGUUCAUAAUUCAUUCUGAUCAUGAGGCUUUAAAACAUAUUCGUACCCAAACAAAUCUGAACCGUCGUCAUGCUAAAUGGGUCGAAUUCAUUGAGUCCUUUCCUUACAUUAUUAAACACAAGAACGGGAAGGACAAUGUUAUUGCUGAUGCUUUGUCUCGUCGCUAUACCAUGCUGUCACAAUUAGAUUUUAAAAUCUUUGGUUUGGACACUGUGAAGGAUCAAUAUGUUGACGAUGCUGAUUUUAAAGAUGCUUUCGGCCAUUGUAUUAAUGGGAUACCAUGGGGCAAAUUUCACAUACAUGAUGGGUUCCUGUUUCGCGCUAACAAGCUGUGUGUUCCAGCUAGCUCGGUUCGUCUUUUGUUAUUACAGGAAGCGCAUGGAGGCGGUCUCAUGGGGCAUUUUGGCGUCUACAAAACGCAUGAGGUGUUGGCUGCCCAUUUCUUUUGGCCUCGGAUGCGCGCUGAUGUGGAGCGCCUUGUUGCACGCUGCACUACUUGUCAGAAAGCUAAGUCACGGUUGAACAACCAUGGUUUGUAUAUGCCUUUGCCUGUCCCUUCUUCUCCUUGGCUUGAUAUCUCUAUGGACUUUGUUUUGGGCUUGCCUAGAACUAAGAAGGGGAGGGAUAGUAUUUUUGUGGUUGUUGAUAGAUUCUCUAAAAUGGCUCACUUUAUACCUUGUCAUAAAACUGAUGAUGCUAGCAUUGUUGCUGAAUUGUUCUUUAGAGAAAUUAUUCGUUUACAUGGUAUUCCAAAAACAAUAGUCUCUGAUCGCGAUGCUAAGUUUCUAAGCCAUUUUUGGAGAUCUCUUUGGAAUAAAUUGGUAACUAAAUUGUUGUUUAGCACUACUUGUCACCCUCAGACUGAUGGACAAACUGAGGUAGUAAAUAGAACUUUAUCUACCAUGCUUAGGGCUGUUUUAGACAAGAAUUUGAGACGUUGGGAGGAUUGCUUGCCUCAUGUUGAAUUUGCUUACAAUCAUGCCACGCAUUCUUCUACAAAGAUGUGCCCUUUCCAGAUUGUUUAUGGUUACAUCCCUAGGGCACCUAUUGAUUUGAUUUCACUUAAUGCUGCGAACGCCCCACAUGUAGAUGCUGCUGCACAUGUUGAACAAAUGGUUACCAUACAUGAACAAACGAAACAGAACAUUGCUGCUACUAAUGCUAAAAAUCAGGUUGCUGGUAGUAAAGGAAGAAAACAUGUUACUUUUGAGCCAGGUGAUAUGGUUUGGUUGCACUUGAGAAAGGAUCGGUUUCCUACUUUGCGUCGUUCUAAAUUAAUGCCUCGUGCUGCUGGUCCUUUUAAGGUGCUAACAAAGAUUAAUGAUAAUGCUUAUAUCCUUGACCUGCCUGCAGAAUUUGGUGUUUCCACUAGUUUUAAUGUUGCAGAUUUGAAACCAUAUAUGGCCGAGGAUGAGGAGUUGUCGUCGAGGACGACUUCACUUCAAGAAGGGGAGGAUGAUGAGGACAUCACUAUGAGUACGACUACACCAGCAGCACCUUCACAUCAAGCGCCACUUCAUUAGCUGGGCCAAUCACUCGGGCCCGUGCCAGAGAUCUUAACUUCGUCAUGCUACUAAAGAAUGAGGGCCCAGAAGAAUAGACGACCAGCCCAACUGCGGCCCAUAGUGGACGACCUAGGGUUGGCCGCCCCUAGGGGCUGCGCCCCCUCUAUUUAUCCAGGAGCUGCGCCUCCUUUAUUCUCGAGUUUUGUUUUACGUUAGCCUUAGCUACUCUCGAACACGCGUAAAUCUGCGCUGUAUUCGUGUAUUCAGAACUCCACCCUCGAGUAAUAGAUUAGAUUGCUCGCAUCUUGUUCUUGUUCGUUCUUCGAUUGCGCACAGGAAACGAUCUUCGUGAUCAGGCCGAUCUCGCAUCAGCAAGGUCGGUAACCAUAGGGAGUUGGUUCAGCGAUUGCAUUGGCGCCUCGGGCUUGCUCGUCGUAGUCGGAUCGCAAGGGUCAUCUUCCGCCAAAUCGGAAUUAUCUCUACUCGCCGAAAGAUCGGGCACCUCAGCUACAUCAUUUACCUUUUCAAAACUCAAGUUUUACAUGUUUCGAAAGAGUAAUAUUUAUUACAAGUCCUGAUAUACUCAAAGUGCAUAAUUUAUUACAAAAGCAGGAAGGUAGAAACCCUCCAAAGCUCAUACAUAAACCUAGCUAGUCCUCCUCUAGAACUGGAAACGCCCUCCAGCCACAGGAACAACUAGAGUACUUCUCAUCACCUACAACAACAUGGGUUCGAAAACCCUGAGUACGGAGUGUACUUUCGCAAGUCUUACCCGACUAAGGAAAAUGACUCUCAAGGAUAUGCUGGUUAAAUAGGAAUCAAAGAAAAGGCUUUAGCAAGAAUCAACUUAGAUACUUUUGCAGAAAUAGCUUACUAAAGUGAGUCCUUACUUUCAAUAUUUUAAUGCCAGAUUAAAUAUUAAUAGACUCUGGUUGCAUCUAGUCUAAUUUCACCAUCUCAUCAAUACAACAUCAUUUUUACUCAUAAUGUUUACAUCCUGACUUAGGUUGUAGGUCGGAGAUCAAGUCUCCACUCUCCGGGGAUAUAACGGCGAUCCGAAUCGAUUUACUCAACUGAGGAUCUCUAACCACACGACAUAUGUUUCUUGUAACUCUUGCAUAUGUCUACCAUUCCCACGGAUCCUCCACUGCAUGAACAGGUCCGCGCCACCCAAGAGCACACCAUCCUUUUUAGGCGGUCCUUUGCCAGGAGGGUACGUGCCACUCUCGCCAUCUCUCCACUCCCAGUGCGCGAUUGUCUUUUCAUGUAUGGAAUAGCCGGGUUCAAGCUUACCCUGUCCCAUAUCCAGGGCAUGUGGCCAGUUAAGAUAGUCCUUGAUCAUACAGGCCUACAUACGCAUCCAAUCCUUAAUUAACCUGGGUAGAACAUCACUUGUUCCUAGCCCAAGUCCUGAUUUAAGUACUUCUAUCCUUAGGAUUGUUUGUGUUCCUUAGGAUGAAAACAACAUUAUAGGGAACUUUGCAGUAAGAUCCCACCAUGCUCCCAAUAAAAAUAUUCUUGCAGGUAGAAGCUGUCCUUCCUCAGGAUAACCCGUGAGCUAGGCAUUAAUGCAAAAGACAACCUCUAUCCACAAGAUCUAAGCAGGGCUAAGCAUUUUUUUGUAAAUCAUAUUUUGAUACUUCAUCAGAAGUAUCUAUAAAGGUAUGGAUAUCAAGGUAGGCAAUGCAUCCAAUAGUUUUCAAGCAACUCCUAUAAACUUAAUGCACAUUUCACUAGAUUUAAAGUGUAUAAAAAUCUUUUAAAAACAUAAGGAAGGGGUUGCAUGCACCGGGGCUUGCUAUUGGGGGCCUUCGUCUUCCGAAGGUCCUCAAAAACAUGAUUUAACAAUGUUUCUGGAGUGUAUUACAUGACCAGGUAUCUUCGGACUUGGAGCAGAACCACAGUGUGAGAAGCACAAAGAAUACAAUGGUUGACAAAGAGCCGAAGCUAUGCGCAAGGGACCUUCGGCAUGAUAGCAGAAAAGGGAACCGACUUAAAAGGGAAAAGGCUAUUUGGACCUCGGUGGAUCACUAUAGAGUCAUUAACAAAUGUAAAGGGCAUGGGUGUAAUUUUACAUGGGCUGUGUCCCGUGCCUAUAAAUAGAUGAACAAUGUUCAUGUACUGUUCACGCUGACUUGGCAUUUGCUUUUGCGUCACGCUUGUAUCCUUACCUUCUUUCAAGCCGAAGGUACAUUUGUAACUUGAUAUCAUUUCUAUUUUUCUAUGAUAAUAAAAUAGAAAUAAGUUGAUAAUAAUAUACAAUUAUUCAUGUGUCUUUUACAUCUCAUAUGAUUCUCUUUUCAUUAUCAUAUGCUGCACUGAUGAAGGUAUGUCCUUCACAACCUUCGUCCGAACAUCAUUAUAUCCUAAGGGAAAAAUAAUGCCCCGAAGGACGAAGGUCAUUAGCGUUUAACAUUUUUUGUGUUGCCUUGUUCUUAAUUCAUAGCAUUUGAGAACAAGUCCCCAACACUUGCCUUAUUGCAGGAGAAGAUCCAAAGUCCUUCUAUCACAAUAACCAGUUAGAUGGAACCAACCACUGGAUCUACAGCACUGGAGCAAACUCCUCUUCAGGAACCACUUCUUGAAUUUCAACUUCCUUUUUUGGGAGCUCUACACGAAAUGAUAUGAAUAUGAAUGCUUAUGCUUUUGUAAUUUGCAACGAAGAUAGCAAAACAACUCUCUAGACUAUACCAAAAUCCAUGGUCUUUUAUGUAAACUUGUUUCUUCACCAACUAAUUCCUUUCAUCCACUAACCGCACCACUAUGAUUCACACGCACAUCACAAAGCCCAAGCUGAUGGUGUGAACCACAAGCCAGCUAUAAACAGUCGCGAACAAUCUUUCCUGGGACAUAAAACUAUGCUACCGAUUAAUCCAAACACACACGCAACCAUGCCAGUAGAGAUCAAACAACCAGUUCAAUGAGUUUCACCCGUAAGUAUAGAUACUAGAACACUACACAGAAACCAUGGAAUCGUACCGUGUUAUCCCAACUACGGGAGGGCAGGAACAACCCCGGGCAUGGUCACCACAGCCAGUGGCAAGUAUGUUUCCAACAAAACCAAGGGUACCAGAUGGCUGAGAGGUGUUAGGGGUGACGUGGGUGUAGAUGAGUAGCAAGGCACAUAGGGGAAACCAGGAAAUCGUCGAGAGCACAAGCAAUUCAGUUUGGGCUCCAAACUAGCAUAACAAGAGGUGGCUUGAUGGAGGUCGGGCUGGGGCUAUUUCAGAGGGGAAAUGAGAAUUAACAAUCCCCAACACACACCUGCAUGUCUACCACGCAAGAUGGAAGCACAGGGGAAAAGUCUAGCACACCUUUACUGCAUGUAUGACACCUCAUCAACAGUGAAGCAGUUGAAUCAUCCAAGAGAUAGGCUUUACACCCUUCCUGCAUCUAUCCUUGGGGUGGUGAAUUGAUGAGGACAUCACUUCUAUACAUACAAUGAAUGCACGACAGCUAAAUCUCCAGGUACGUUCUACCCUAGUCAAUUGUGUUUCAGAGCUUACGCUUGGGGCCAUGGAUGUUUUGAUGAUUAGGAACCUUGGAGAGGACCAGAAAGGACUUGGGAAAGGCCUAGAGGAGGAGGAGCAAGGGCGCCACAAUAGGAAGAAGAUCAAGUCCGACUCGGCUGCGACUCCAUCUCGGGUUCCAGGACCAGUCUGCACUAAAAUGGACGCCCAAGAUGCAUCUGGACUCCGAUUGCAACAGACUUGAUAUGGUUGGAAAGAUAAGGAGAUUAUCUAACCAACCCAACUGGUUCCACCCUAAAAUUCAUCCGGAAUCAACAGGAAUCGUCGAAACAAGUCAGCGUUCAGAUUCUGUUUUGGUGCUGCGACACCGUCUGUUGGGCCGUUGGGCCGUGUAUCGCGUCGGAGCCCAUUAGGGGUGAGUCCAGGGGUCAUGCACGCCCUAAUACUCUAUUUAUUCAGCAGCUGCCGCCAUAUUAGUAGGGUUGGGUUUUGCUUAAGUUUAGAUCUGUCAAGAACAGUCGUCGUAGAUCGGUUUGUGAGACCCCAACUUGUGAGCUUAAUUUUUCAUCCGCAAUAUUCUAGAUUGUGUUCUUUCUUGUUCUUGCUUGUGUCUUUGAUUCCCAAGCAGGAAUUAGCCCUCGUGGCGAGGUCAAUCGCGCAGUGCACGGUUGAUAACCAGAGGAGAAGUGGUGCUGCGAUUACGGGGUUCUAGUCGUGUUGAUUGGAAGCCGGAUCGUUUGUGUGACAUCUCCACCAAAUCGAUAGUUACCUUCACCUGACGGAAGAUCGGGCACCCCUGUUCCUAUCAAGUGGUAUUCAAAGACUCAGGUAUUACCGUCAGGCUUACCCUAGUUUAGUUUAUGUUUUUUUAAUCCUAUAACUCUAGAUAAUUGCCAUACAAAAAAAAAUUCGCUGUCCUAUAACCCUUGUUUAGCCUUUGCAAUUUCGUUUUCAGUUUGGCUUUGUUCAGUUCGUGUCCGUGGUCGAGUCGAGUUGCUGGUUUAGGGUGUAUCUUCGUCGUAGAUCAACUGCCCUCGCUAGCCACUAUCCCAUCCACCACUACCCAGAUCACACGUCGAUCCACCCAUUAAUCGACUUGCCCUCGCUAGCCGCCGCCGUGCCAGCCCUAGAUAGAUUGCAGAUACGCCGCUAUCCCAUCCACCAUUACCCAGAUCACAAGUCGAUCCACCCCAUUAAUCGACUUGCUCUAACCGUUGUGAUUGCAGAUAGGGAAUUUUUUGCCCUAACCACCGCUUUCUAGUCGUGCCUCCAAAAACAUAACUUGAGGUACCUUCCUUAAACCGGGCAUAACUUUUCGCUCGGGUGUCCAAAAAAUCUGAAAUUUUUACAGGAGCUUGUUGACACCAUUCUGAGGCCAGCCAAACUCGCCUACGGCCUGUUUGGUUUUGAUAAAAUUGUCAAAAAAAUUCAGGAAAAUAAAGAAAAAACUUUGUCAAAGCUCUUGCACGCUUUUCAGAGAACUUGCUCAUUUUCUGUAGACCACAUCUGAUCUCUGAUUUAGGUGAAACUUGGUGUAGCUCCUAUUUUGUUGCUUCUUGUGCUGACAAAAAUAUCAAAAAAUCAUACAAAAAAGAAAAGCAAAAUUACCAUUGAAUCCUACUAGUGCCUUUUUGGCAUCGCGAGUACAACAUUUACGGUACUGCCAUUCUGCUAUUUCCAUUGUUCUUUGUUCCAACUUGUUGUGAUAUGCCUCGGAUACAUCUCUUAGCCAGCAAUUGUGACUUGUGCUUUGGAUAUUUAUUGAACUUCGCUCAUCUGCACUCGAUUUUGUUUCACAUUCACAUACAUAUUGUGCUUGUCCUAUAGCUCCACAUACUAUAUCUUCUGAUCAAUACAGAUUUGACCUUGCAAUCGCGGUUUCACUAUCUCUUGGUAAGUAUCACGAACCAACCUCCGAUUGUACCAUCCUUUGCUUGUAUUUCGUCAAACACUUGUAAGAGCUUGGUAAGAUACAUUAAAGUGUGUUCCUGUGUUAUACCUGAGAGGAGCGUGUAGUGAAAUUAUUAGGGAUAACCGUCACCGUUUGUUUCCUGUUUUUGUGUUUUGAUGGUAGGCGACGAAGAAGAAGCAAGGAUCCCUACAGACUUCGAUGAAUGUGUUAGCCGCCAAGAUCUUGAGGCAAAAAACAAUCUCCUGAAGGAGCAAAUGGAGGAGACGGUCCACAAGUCAGUGCAUGAUGCCUUCAUUGACAUGAACCUUGGCAAGACUUACGAGAGGUUGGAUCGACGAUUGUCCCAGAUCGUCGACAGACUUGCUGUGUUGGAGACGCAACAACAAGCACCACCACCACCACCUCCUCGUCCACGACUUCCCGAUGAUGCGGUGUUUGAUGAAGAAGGUAAUUAUGAUUAAGCGGCCACCAGAGAUUUGCGCCUACGUCGCCGCCUUCAUCAAAACAUAGAAGGUAUGCCACACCAACACCGCCAGCAAGGUAAUAACAAUUACCAUCUUUUUCGGGUCAUUAUGAUGCUGAGGGAUAUCUUGAUUGGGAGAUGACGAUAGAACAGAAAUUUGCUGCCCACCUUGUACCCGAACAACAUCAAGUUAGACAAGCCACUAGUGAAUUUAAAGAUUUUGCUAUUGUCUGGUGGACUGGUCUAGUUGGGGAUGGUAGAGCACCUACGACUUGGGAAGAUCUUAAGGUAGCUAUGCGCGGUAGAUUUGUUCCCCCAUCUUAUCAUAGAGAAUUGCGUAAGAAAUUGAUGCGUUUAGAGCAAGGGGAUAAAUCUGUUCAAGAUUAUUAUGCUGAGCUUCAGAAGGGAUUGCAGCGUUGUGGGAUAGUAGAGGGACAUGAGGACGCUCUUUGUCGUUUUUAUUCAGGUUUGCGGCGUGACAUUCAGGACAUUGUGGAUUACAAAGAAUUUAACAUUGUCAACAAGUUGUUCCAGUUUGCUAUGCUUGCAGAGAAGGAAUUGCAGGGACGCCAACAUCGACCUAGGGCUACUUUUGGCGCCUCCUCUGCACCACGGAUGCACACACCUGCCUCAAGUCAUACUCCCUCGACACCUGCUGCACACGUUGGUAACCUUCCUUUGUAGGUACCCACCAAGAAACAGAAUUCACCAGCACCUGCAACACCUUCCAGUGGUCGUUCUUCGGGUAUUGUUUGCCACCGCUGUCAUGGAAUUGGUCACGUGAAGAAGGAUUGCCCGAGUCAGCGAACAUACAUUGCUACGGAUGAUGGCUACAUUAGUGCUUCCGACGGUGAGGGUGAUGAUGAUGACUCCAGUGAUGUUGCUGCUAAUGAUGAUGUCAUGCUUGGUGCUGAUGCUACGGUGAACCUUCGAAGCAUCAUGGUGCAGCGUGUUCUUAGUUCUCAGCCUGAAUCAUAAGAGAAGCAGCAACGCAAUAAUUUGUUCUAGACUUUCUUCUCCAUCGAGAAUCGGCGUGCACGUGUUAUUAUUGAUGGUGGAAGCUGCAAUAAUUUGGUGAGUUCAGAUUUGGUCAAGAAGCUUGGCUUGACCACACGUCCACGGCCACAUCCAUACCACAUUCAGUGGAUCAAUGAUUCAGGCAAGGUUAAGGUAACACACAUGGUACGAGUGCAUUUCUCCAUUGGUAUGUAUUCUGAUUAUGCGGAUUGUGAUGUAGUACCUAUGGAAGCUUGUUCUCUUUUGUUGGGUAGACCUUGGGAAUAUGAUACUGAUGCAUGUCACCAUGGUAGGAGUAAUACAUACACUUUUAGGCAUAAAGAUAAAAACAUUACUUUGCUACCUUUGACUCUUACUGAAAUUGUACAAGCUGAUAAAGAUAGAGCUGCAAGUACCCAUAAGGAACCAACUAAUGAGACAGAAAUUCAGCAACAAAUUAAAUUGAAAUCUCCUAUCAUGCUUGCUACUAAAUCUUAUCUUCUUGAAACUCAUGCUACUGAUGCUUGUUGCUAUGCCUUGGUUUGCAAAGAUGCUUUUCUUUUCUAUUGAUGAUAUUGCUAGCAUUUUGUCUACAUUUGUGACUAAUCUUUUGUAGCAGUUCCGAGAUGUUUUUCCCUCUGAGUUACCUCCAGAACUUCCUCCCAUUCGUGGGAUUGAGCACCAGAUUGAUUUGAUUCCUGGAGCGAGCUUGCCCAACCGUGCUGCUGGACCAUUUAAAAUUUUCGAGAAGAUUAAUGACAAUGCAUAUAAACUUGAGUUGCCCCCAGAGUUUGGGAUUAGUCCCACCUUUAAUAUCAGAUUUAAAUCCAUAUUUGGGAAAAGAAGAUGAGCUUGAGUCGAGGGCGACUCCACUUCAAGAGGGGGAGGAUGAUGAGGACAUGGAUGUGUUUCCCUCUGAGAUACCCCCUGGAUUACCACCUGAGUUGCCUCUAGAUUUUCGGGUUAGUCCCACCUUUAACAUUUCAGAUUUGAAGCCAUAUAUGGGUGACGAAGAUGAGAUCGAGUCGAGGACGACUCCAAUUCAAGAGGAGGAGGAGGAUGAGGACAUCACUUCUAUACAUACAAUGAAUGCACGACAGCUAAAUCUCCAGGUAUGUUCUACCCUAGUCAAUUGUGUUUCAGAGCUUACGCUUGGGGCCAUGGAUGUUUUGAUGUUUAGGAACCUUGGAGAGGACCAGCAAGGACUUGGGAAAGGCCUAGGUGUUGAGGAGGAGCAGCAAGGGCGCCACAACAGGAAGGAGAUCAAGUCCGACUCGGCUGCGACUCCAUCUCGGGUUCCAGGACUAGUCUGCACUAAAAUGGACGCCCAAGAUGCAUCCAGACUCCGAUUGCAACGGACUUGAUAUGGUUGGAAAGAUAAGGAGAUCAUCUAACCAACCCAACUGGUUCCACCCUAAAAUUCGUCCAGAGUCAACGGGAAUCGUCGAAACAAGUCAGCGUUCAGAUUCUGUUUUGGUGCUGCGACACCGUCUGUUGGGCUGUGUAUCGCAUCGGAGCCCAUUAGGGGCGAGUCCAUGGGUCAUGCACGCUCUAAUACUCUAUUUAUUCAGCAGCUGCCGCCACAUUAGGGUUGAGUUUUGCUUAAGUUUAGAUCUGUCAAGAACAGUCGUCGUAGAUCGGUUUGUGAGACCCCAACUUGAGAGCUUAAUUUUUCAUCCGCAAUAUUCUAGAUUGUGUUUUUUCUUGUUCUUGCUUGGGUCUUCGAUUCUCAGGCAGGAAUUAGCCCUCGUGGUGAGGUCAAUCGCGCAGUGCAUGGUUGAUAACUAGAGGAGAAGUGGUGUUGCGAUUGCGGGGUUCUAGUCGUGUUGAUUGGAAGCCGGAUCGUUUGUGUGACAUCUCCACCAAAUCGAUAGUUACCUUCACCUGACGGAAAAUCGGGCACCCCCGUUCCUAUCAUGAUUUUUGACAAUAAACUUUCCAUUCUCAUAAGUCUCUUUUGGGCUGGCAUAUCCUAGAAUUCCCUAUAUCAAUUUGGUGGAUGGAGAUACUUUCAUCAGAUUAUUCUAAAACUGCUCCUGCUGUUCUACUCGACUGAAACCUCAAGUUCAGCUCCCCUUUUUAUUACCUCAAAUAACCAGCAAAGAAACUUUAAUGCCCCCAACACACAAAUAUCACUUGGUCCAAAUCUGCAGGUAGUAGAUAUCUGCAGAUAGUAGACAAAACAGAUAUGAUCUCUUUUGUCCACAUCUCCCAAACAAUCCAAAACUAGAUAUUUUGAAGCAGAGCUGAAGUCACUAGAUCCUUGGUUUUGCACCCCACCCGUAUCCCAACUCGAGCACACCAGUGGAGCACAGGAAAGGGAGAAAAAUCUUCCUCAAUUUCCUAUCCCAAACACUGAAUCAACUUCCCUGACAUCAGUGUCCCAUUGCACAGCUCCCAGUUUGGUCUACUUUAUCUCACAAACUUCCUCAACAACGGCCCCUUCUUCCCUAAUAAAAAGUACUCUAAAAUCAUUGCUCUUCCACUUUGGUACAAUACCCCUAGGCUGAAACCACAUAGAACAAAAAUUAUGGGACACAAAAGUAGAGCAAAAACACUAAGAGGUUCAGUUUCAGCUGAAGUGAAACAGUCCCCCAGACAGUCUGACAGAGGAAGUUUAGGUGCAUUUUACUCUAAAGUUUGUUAAGCACCAAGUCAGACCCACAUAACAAAACUUGUACUUCUUUACUUGGUCUCCAACCUUGUUACAUAGUUCUUAGCCUAACACCUGGUGGAAUGGUCACAAAAGUGUUCCCAAACUGACACCAAACAGUGCAACUUCAGUUUUCAGGCACUGAUUGAAAUUCAGUUUCUGUAACUGACAGUCCCAGUUUUAAGCAACUAUUACUCCACUUUUCAUGCAGUACAAAGUCAACCUUAUUUAAGAAAACUUGUUCACUAUUGUAUGGUCUUCCAUUUUACUAUAGAAACCAUAGUCCAUAACCCCAUAGAUUAGCCACAAGAAAGCUCCGAAGUUGAGCAAAACUCACUGAAAAUCAGUUUUAGAUAACUGAAUCAAGUCUGAAAUUAAAGUCUAACAGCAUGUUUUGGAACACCAUUUUCUCCCUGUUCUAAGCAUAUUCAAGGGCAUGAUCCUUACCAAGGGUUACUUCCCCAAUAUUUAUCUCCAAGUUUGCUACAGAAACUAGAGCCUAAAAGCACAUGGAUUGAUCACAGAACAAACAUAGUACGAUCGUGUACCUUGCUGGGUUGUCUUGGCCACGACGAGAUGGCCAAACUGACCGGCGUGGUCACUACUGGCAGGCCGAUGGUGUGCCAACACUUGUGCAGAUCAAACCUAAUGGCUGGAAAGAGACUAGCAUCAACUGGAGCACAAGGACUUCCACACUUUUACACUGGUCUUGGGCUAGAAUCCGAAGGCCAGGUGAAUCCUUCACUGAACCAGAUUUUAGAGCCACCAUAUAUAUAGAAAACGUCCCUAGACAUGGCCAACAUGCAGUGAAGCAGUGUGUCUCAGAGCGCCAGCAACAUAUGGACUUCAACACGUGGCUAACAUGCUCUCAUACCCCACCAGUACACAACCUUGGUUAGGACACUGAACCUGGUCCAUUUUCUCAACACAAAUAUCAGUUGGGGAUAUGCUUCAAUAUGUCCAAGAACAGGAUAUUCUUUCCAGCUGAGGGUGGGUUCUAGACCUCAGUUAUACCCUCCACACUUAUCUCAACUAUACACAUACAUGUAUCUCUUUUGUCCCCUACUGCAGACAGCAGACCAACCGAUCAAUUCUCCACUAUUUACUGCUCCAAAAUAGUCCAAAUUAGAUAUUUUUGGUGGAGAGUAGCCUCAAAGUAUCAGUCAUGCACUUCCCCCAUAAGACAGCUUAAUAUGUCAGUGGAGCACAGCAGAGAAAAAGAUUCUUCUUCAGUUACACCUCCACACACUGAAUCACUUCAUCAACCUGCUGCCCCAUUUAAUUCCUCCCAGUUCAAACCCUCUGAUCUUUCAAUUUUUCAUAGCAACAGACCAUGCUCCCUUCACAAAAGUUGUUCUCUAUACAUAGUUCUACCAACUUGGUAUAGAAAUCACAGGUUGAAAAUAUUUAGAGCAAGAGUUAUUGCAAUCCAAAGUUAAGCAAAACACUCAAAAUUCAGUUUUGGAUUUAUUAAACAGCACAAUACUGGGUCUGGCAGAGAGUUUUGUCACCCCUUUUUCUCUAGAUUACACACAGUAACAAGUCAACCCUUUGCAUAAAAGUUGUUCCCCUUCAUAUGGACUUUGACUUUUUUACAGAACUCGUAACCAAAAUCUCCAUAGAUUAAUUAUCAUAGAGCUCCAAACUGGACAACUUGCUGCCAUUCAGGGUUCAGAACUGAAUUAAAAUUCAGUUAUUAACCAACCUGACAAUCCAAUCUUUGAGGAACUAUUUCUGCACUUUUUGUAUGGGAUCAGGUCCACCACCCUAUAAGAAAGUUGUUCCACAUUAUAUGGUCUUCACUUAUUCUACAAACACCACAGCACAAAACCUUAUAGAAUAGCCACAAAUAGGCUUCAAAACUGCUAUCAAAACACUGAAAUUCAGUUACUGUUUCCAAUAUGAAUAUUCAGAAACACAGCAGCACCACUUUGAACCACUCUUUUUCUUGGGUUCCAAUUGUUUCUAGGGGCAAGUUUCUCAGUAAAGUUUAUACUCCUAUAGUUCCUCUACAAGUUUUAUAUAGUGACCAUUAACCAAAGCCUCUUGGAUCCCAAACUACAAUAGCCCAAAGUUUGCUCCAAUUGCUGAAAUUCAGACUGAAUUUCACUGUCUGAAAUCCCCACUUUCAGACAACUCUACUUUAGGCCAGCUUUUCUCUAGGUUCCAAAUAGCUUUAGGGCUAAGUGUAUUAACAAAACUUAUACUCCUCAUGUAUCUCUAUAACUUUGUUAUAAUGAUCAUCUUCAAACAGUUUAUAGAUCCAAAGUUAUGAGGACCCAAAAACAGCUAGUUGAUAUUAUUUUCAGCAAACUUCAAAUCUGAUUCAAAACUGAAUUAAACUUUUUACUCCAACUUUUCCUCUAAAACUUGGAAUUCUCCAUACAUAAAAGUUGUUCAACUUACCAAAAUCUACAACUUUGAUAUAUGGACAACUAGCAAAUUCUCUCUAGAUUUAAAACUCCACUUUUGGGCUAGUUGAGGGUUUCAAAUGUGACUCCUUCUCAUCUAGUGAUUUAUCAACUCAAUCCAUACUCCUAAAAGCUAAGUGACUCCCCUUAAUCUCAAAUUCAACUCUAGUAUAUGAAGCUCAUGUCCAAAGUGUCCUUGGUUUAGGAGUUGUUUUGUUUAUCCACAAUUCCAAGCAAGGUUUUGAAAUCUCACUUAAGGUUUUUAAUGUUAAUCCAGUUCCUCAAUUAAUUCUUCCACUCAACCCACCUUUGAAAGCAAAGUUGCUCUAGGUCCUAAGUCUUACCUUUAAUACUUUAAAUUCCAAGCCAACUUAUUACUUGCUCAAGAGACGACUUCUCUUCCCAUGUCUUAAGCAAAGUUCUUAAUCUGAGCCCUAUACUCUAAUACACAACACCAUAUUCACUGAAAUUUUUUGACCAAGUGGAUGCAUUCUAGGUAUAUCAAACAAGAUAAUGCAGAUGCUUAUGAUGGCAUGUCAGAGUUUUAGUUAACGUAACACCAGGGGUGUUACAGUCUUCCCCCCUAAAAAGAAAUCUUGUCCCGAGAUUUAAAACUCUAGGCUAGGUAAUGGAAAAGAAAAUGUGUCACUGGCUUAUUUCCCAUUACUCCUAUAAGGCAAGGGUGUGUUUCUAUUGGUUUAUACCAGAAAUAAACUACACAAACCUUAGGUUUACAGGGCACUAGAAACUCAGGAACACGCUCUUCUAGAUACUCCUCCGAUUCCUAUGUGGUUUCAUCUUCCAUGGGUUGGUUCCACUGUAGUUUAUGAAACUUGAUAACUUUUCUUCAAGUGACUGAUCCUUUAAAUCCAAUCCUUUCAGGCAGUGGCCGUUUAGUCCAUGGUCCGUUGGAUGGUCAGUGCAAGGCCAGAAAUUGGAACACAUUGAUUCCGCUCGUUCCUGUCCUUCGCUUCAAGGCCUGUCCCUCGGUGUGGUCAGUACUCCAUACUGUCGGGCAGCAAAGCUUACACUUGUUCACUUAUUAUGAUGGUUCACCAGGGCCUCUUUCCUCCUCCCUUUUCUGCUCACUCGUAUGGGAUAUUCCAAGUAGGUUAAAUCUGGUCCAAGGUUAACAUCUGAAAUCUCAAUAACAUGCUUGGGGACUCGAAGACAUUUCUUUAACUGGGACACGUAGAACAUGUUGUGCACUGUUGACAAAUUCUUUGGCAACUGUACCUUAUAAACUACUAGUCCACCAAAUGAACUGAGUUCCAAGGCUUCACGAAUAGGAAAAGGUAGUAUAGAAAAGCAAAGAUAGAUAGCAUGAAUAGGAUGGAUGAAACAUGUACUAAGAUACUAUAUAGGGGGCUUAACUUAAAAUUGUAUGUCAUGAUGCGUGCUCGACCUAUUCGUCCUCACAAUUCUUGCCAACAUAUAGUGGCUUUCAUGCUCUAUGGCAGUGGCAUACCUACACUCCGUCAUUGAAUACAAGUCGCACUUUUCUAGGGUUUUAGUUAGUGUACCUGCAGAAAGUUGCAUUAUAGUUGUGGGUUAGUGGUUAGCAUCCUAAACUAAGCCACCUUAUAGUCCUUAACUUAACCAUAUACUAGUUGCACUUCGAGUAUCAGGAUUUGAUCAUAGAUUCUUAAGUUUUUCCAAAAUAGUUUGGACUCAAAAUCCUUUUGAAGCAUAUCAAAAGAUUACUUUAAUAUCCAUGCUAAUGGGGGAUCGCUCCGAUACCAAUCUGUGGCAGCCCUCCCAAGUUAUCAGGCCCAUAUGCACCAAUCCUUGCCUUGAUGGCCUCAGAUGGCUAUGCACGUGUACCAGGUAACUUAACAAGGCUAUCACGAGUUCAACCACUUGAACUCAUCAUCCCAAGGAUCCUCCACCAUACAUGCAUAUUACAGUAAUCACAUUCGAUACACACACUUCGAAGAUACGAGCGGAAGACUUUACAAACAUUCUUUACCUUUUCAAAACUCAAGUUUCACAUGUUUCGAAAGAGUAAUAUUUAUUACAAGUCCUGAUAUACUCAAAGUGCAUAAGUUAUUACAAAAGCAGGAAGGUAGAAACCCUCCAAAGCUCAUACAUAAACCUAGCUAGUCCUCCUCUAGAACUGGAAACGCCCUCCAGCCACAGGAACAACUAGAGUACUUCUCAUCACCUACAACAACAUGGGUUCGAAAACCCUGAGUACGGAGUGUACUUUUGCAAGUCUUACCCGACUAAGGAAAAAUGACUCCCAAGGAUAUGUUGGUUAAAUAGGAAUCAAGGAAAAGGCUUUAGCAAGAAUCAACUUAGAUACUUUUGCAGAAAUAGCUUACUAAAGUGAGUCCUUACUUUCAAUAUUUUAACACCAGAUUAAAUAUUAAUAAACUCUGGUUGUAUCUAGUCUAAUUUCACCAUCUCAUCAAUACAACAUCAUUUUUACUCAUAAUGUUUACAUCCUUAGGUUGUAGGUCGGAGAUCAAGUCUCCACUCUCCGGGGAUAUAACGGCGAUCCGAAUUGAUUUACUCAGCUGAGGAUCUCUAACCACACGACAUAUGUUUCUCGUAACUCUUGCUUAUGUCUAUCAUUCCCACGGAUCCUCCACUGCAUGAACAGGUCCGCGCUACCCGGGAGCACACCACCCUUUUUAGGCGGUCCUUUGCUAGGAGGGUACGUGCCACUCUCGCCAUCUCUCCACUCCUAGUGCGCGAUUGUCUUUUCAUGUAUGGAAUAGCCGGGUUCAAGCUUACCCUGUCCCAUAUCCAGGGCAUGUGGCCAGUUAAGAUAGUCCUUGAUCAUACAGGCCUACAUACGCAUCCGAUCCUUAAUUAACAUUGGUAGAACAUCACCUGUUCCUAGCCCAAGUCCCGAUUUAAGUACUUCAACCUUAGGAUUGUUUGUGUUCCUUAGGAUGAAAAGAGCAUUAUAGGGAACUUUGCAGUAAGAUCCCACCAUGCUCCCAAUGAAAAUAUUCUUGCAAGUAGAAGUCGUCCUUCCUCAGGAUAACCCCUGAGCUAGGCAUUAAUGCAAAAGACAACCUCUAUCCACAAGAUCUAAGCAGGGCUAAGCAUUUUUUGUAAAUCAUAUUUUGAUACUUCAUCAGAAGUAUCUAUAAAGGUAUGGAUAUCAAGGUAGGCAAUGCAUCCAAUAGUUUCCAAGCAACUCCUAUAAACUUAAUGUACAUUUCACUAGACUUAAAGUGUAUAAAAAUCUUUUAAAAACACAAGGAAGGGGUUGCAUGCACCGGGGCUUGUCUUAUUGCAGGAGAAGAUCCAAAGUCCUUCUAUCACAAUAACCAGUUAGAUGGAACCAACCACUGGAUCUACAGCACUGGAGCAGACUCCUCUUCAGGAACCACUUCUUGAAUUUCAACUUACUUUUAUGGGAGCUCUACAUGAAAUGAUAUGAAUAUGAAUGCUUAUGCUUUUGUAAUUUGCAACGAAGAUAGCAAAACAACUCUCUAGACUAUACCAAAAUCUAUGGUCUUUUAUGUAAACUUGUUUCUUCACCAACUAAUUCCUUUCAUCCACUAACCGCACCACUACGAUUCACACGCACAUCACAAAGCCCAAGUUGAUGGUGUGAACCACAAGCCUAUAAACAGUCGCGAACAAUCUUUCCUGGGACAUAAAACUAUGCUACCGAUUAAUCCAAACACACACGCAACCAUGCCAGUAGAGAUCAAACAACCAGUUUAAUGAGUUUCACCCGUAAGUAUAGAUACUAGAACACUACACAGAAACCGUGGAAUCGUACCAUGUUAUCCCAACUAUGGGAGGGCAGGAACAACCCCGGGCAUGGUCACCACAGCCAGUGGCAAGUAUGUUUCCAACAAAACCAAGGGUACUAGAUGGCAGAGAGGUGUUAGGGGGGUGACGUGGGUGUAGAUGAGUAGCAAGGCACAUAGGGGAAACCAGGAAAUCGUCGAGAGCACAAGCAAUUCAGUUUGGGCUCCAAACUAGCAUAACAAGAGGUGGCUUGAUGGAGGUCGAGCUGGGGCUAUUUCAGAGGGGAAAUGAGAAUUAACAAUCCCCAACACACACCUGCAUGUCUACCACGCAAGGUGGAAGCACAAGAAAAAAGUCCAGCACACCUUUACUGCAUGUAUGACACCUCAUGAACAGUGAAGCAGCUGAAUCAUCCAAGAGAUAGGCUUUACACCCUUCCUGCAUCUAUCCUUGGGGUGGUGAAUUUUUGACAAUAAACUUUCCUCUCUCAUAAGUCUCUUUUGGGCUAGCAUAUCCUAGAAUUCCCUAUAUCAAUUUGGUGGAUGGAGAUACUUUCAUCAGAUUAUUCUAAAGCUGCUCCUGUUGUUCUACUCGACUGAAACCUCAAGUUCAGCUCCCCUUUUUAUUACCUCAAAUAACCAGCAAAGAAACUUUAAUGCCCCCAACACACAAAUAUCACUUGGUCCAAAUCUGCAGGUAGUAGAUAUCUGCAGAUAGUAGACAAAACAGAUAUGAUCUCUUCUGUCCACAUCUCCCAAACAGUCCAGAACUAGAUAUUUUGCAGCAGAGCUGAAGUCACUAGAUCCUUGGUUUUGCACCCCACCCAUAUCCCAACUCGAGCACACCAGUGGAGCACAGGAAAGGGAGAAAAAUCUUCCUCAAUUUCCUAUCCCAAACACUGAAUCAACUUCCCUGACAUCAGUGUCCCAUUGCACAGCUCCCAGUUUGGUCUACUUUAUCUCACAAACUUCCUCAACAACGGCCCCUUCUUCCCUAAUAAAAAAUACUCUCCAAUCAUUGCUCUUCCACUUUGGUACAAUACCCCUAGGCUGAAACCACAUAGAACAAAAAUUAUGGGACACAAAAGUAGAGCAAAAACACUAAGAGGUUCAGUUUCGGCUGAAGUGAAAUAAUCCCCCAGACAGUCUGACAGAGGAAGUUUAGGUGCAUUUUACUCUAAAGUUUGUUAAGCACCAAGUCAGACCCACAUAACAAAACUUGUACUUCUUUACUUGGUCUCCAUCCUUGUUACAUAGUUCUUAGCCUAACACCUGGUGGAAUGGUCACGAAAGUGUUCCCAAACUGACACCAAACUGUGCAACUUCAGUUUUCAGGCACUGAUUGAAAUUCAGUUUCUGUAACUGACAGUCCCAGUUUUAAGCAACUAUUACUCCACUUUUCAUGCAGUACAAAGUCAACCUUAUUUAAGAAAACUUGUUCACUAUUGUAUGGUCUUCCAUUUUACUAUAGAAACCAUAGUCCAUAACCCCAUAGAUUAGCCACAAGAAAGCUCCGAAGUUGAGCAAAACUCACUGAAAUUCAGUUUUAGAUAACUGAAUCAAGUCUGAAAUUAAAAUCUGACAGCAUGUUUUGGAACGCCAUUUUCUCCCUGUUCUAAGCAUAUUCAAGGGCAUGAUCCUUACCAAGGGUUACUUCCCCAACAUUUAUCUCCAAGUUUGCUACAGAAACUAGAGCCUAAAAGCACAUGGAUUGAUCACAGAACAAACAUAGUACGAUCGUGUACCUUGCUGAGUUGUCUUGGCCACGGCGAGAUGGCCAAACUGACCGGCGUGGUCACUACUGGCAGGCCGAUGGUGUGCCAACACUUGUGCAGAGCAAACCUAGUGGCUAGGAAGAGACUAGCAUCAACUGGAGCACAAGGACUUCCACACUUUUACACUGGUCUUGGGCUAGAAUCAGAAGGCCAGGUUGAUGAGGACAUCACUAUGAGUACGACUACACCAGCAGCACCUCCACAUCAAGCGCCACUUCCUUCAUUAGUUGGGCCAAUCACUCGGGCCCGUGCCAGAGAUCUUAACUUCGUCAUGCUACUGAAGAAUGAGGGCCCAGAAGAAUAGACGACCAGCCCAACUGCGGCCCAUAGUGGACAACCUAGGGUUGGCCGCCCCUAGGGGCUGCGCCCCCUCUCUCUAUUUAUCCAGGAGCUGCGCCUCCUUUGUUCUUCGAGUUUUGUUUUACAUCUAGCUUUAGCUACCCCAGAACACGCACAAAUACGUGUUGUCCUCUGUGAUUCAGAACUCCACCUCGAGUGAUAUUAAGAUUGCUCGCAUCUUUUUCUUGUUCGUUCUUCGAUUGCGCACAGGAAACGAUCUUCGUGAUCAGGCCGAUCUCGCAUUAGCAAGGUCGGUAACCAUUGGGAGUUGGUUCAGCGAUUGCAUUGGCGCUUCGGGUUCGCUCGUCGUAGUCGGAUCGUGAGGGUCUACUUGCACCAAAUCGGAAUUAUCUCCACUCACCGAAAGAUCGGGCACUCCAGCUCUAUUAAGUGGUAUCAGAUUUCCAGGUUGAUCGGUGAGUUUAUCGAGUGUUUUUUUUCUCCUACAGUCCACAAAACCACAUAAAAAUUUAGGUUAGACCUUAUCCUAGCACCCUUUUGAGCCUCGCACUUUCUUUCAAUAAUCUGCAUUGUUGAAUUUGUGUGCUUUCAUGUCAUUUGUUACUGGUUGCAUUGUGUUAUUACACCAUUCAAACCCUAGCGCGCCGCCACCAUAUUCCGUUUGAUCACGCCACAAACCGAGUCAACGCCGCUUCCUUAUUUUUCUCCUUCGGUUACGUAAAAAACAGAAAAAAAACAAACCGAGUCAACACCGUUUCCUUGUUUUUCUACUUCGGUUACGUAAAAAAACAGAAACAAAAAAAAGAAAACGAAGGAGAAAGAAUACAAAGCGGUUGUCUCAUCUCGAUCGUUUUAAGCAUACCUUCCUUAAACCGGGCAUAACUUUUCGCUCGAUUGUUCAAAAAAUCUGAAUUUUUUACAGGAGCUUGUUGACACCAUUCUGAGGCCGGCCAAACUGGCCUAUGGCCUGUUUGGUUUCGAUAAAAUUGUCAAAAAAUUCAGGAAAAUAAAGAAAAAAAUUCAUCAAAGUUCUCGCACGCUUUUCAGAGAACUUCCUGAUUUUCUGUAGACCACAUCUGAACUCUGUUUUAGGUGAAACUUCGUGUAGCUCCUAUUUUGUUGCUCCUUAUGCUGAGAAAAAUAUCAAAAAAUCAUACAAAAAAAAAGAAAAACAAAAUCACUUGUGAUUCCUACUAGUGCCUUUUUGGCCUCGCUAGUACAAUAUUUACGGUACUGCCAUUCUGCUAGUUCCAUCCAUCCUUUGCACUUGUGGCCAGCAAUAUAGUUUCGUGUUUUGCACUAUAAUUCAACUUUGCAUUAUUGUUUGAUCGUGCUAAUCCUUGACUUGAGUGCAGCCUACCCAAAACUCCACAUAUUUCUACGACGAGAAGGUUUCUGUUUCUCCAGGCAAUCGCUCAUCCAAUCUUUCACCGGUUCCACCUGUUGGUUGCAGUUCACCACUGUGGCUUGGUAAGAACGGAUAAGAACUUGAUAACAGCAUUCCAUUGAGCGAGUUGUCACCACCAUUUUCCUGUUGUCGUCGGUUUUUCUCCUUUUGGUGUUUUGGUGUUUGUGCUAACUAUGGCAGGAGCACACGACACGGUGGAUGCCCAGUUGCUGGAAGUAAGGGGACAAGUUGAUGGACUUGCUGCUGACAUUAGGACGAUGCAUGAACGGCUUGAUUCAACGGUCAAUUCGACGACCGAGCGUUUCAACCAGCUUGACCUUGCUCAAACGGCGACUCGCACCACACUCGACACCAUCCUGGCACGCCUUGAUGCGUUGACCACAAAGAUGGAGCAGGACUACGGCGGUGAUACUGAGCAGGACGAUGGAGAUCGCCGUGGUCGUGCACGCCGUGUGGUUCGUCAUCCCCCUAAUGACUUAUUUUCUAAGAUUAAAUUUAAAAUUCCACCUUUUAAUGGCAAAUAUGAUCCUACUGCAUAUCUUGAUUGGGAGUUAGAGGUUGAACAAAAAUUUUCAUGCCAUGAUAUUGCUGCACAUUCUCAGGUUAAAGCUGCUAUUAGUGAAUUUAAUGAUUUUGCUUUAAUUUGGUGGCGUGAGUAUAAAAUGAAACAUCCCACUGCCAUUCCAACCACUUGGGAUCAGUUAAAAGCUGUGAUGAGACAUCGAUUUGUGCCUUCGUAUUAUGCUCGUGAUUUGCUUAAUAAAAUGCAGUGUUUUCAGCAAGGUUCUCAAUCUAUUGAGGACUAUUUCCAGGAGUUACAAAAAGGUAUGAUUCGUUGUGGGAUAUUGGAGGACAACGACGCUGCUAUGGCACGUUUUCGUGGUGGUUUAAACCGCGAAAUCCAGGAUAUACUUGAUUAUAAGGAAUAUUAUGAUAUGACUACUUUAUUUGAAUAUGCUUGUAAAACUGAACGUGAAGUGCAGGGACGCCGCUCGAAGCCAUAUUCUAACCCUUUUGCAGGACGAAGCUCGACAUCCACCUCAGCACCAGUUCCCUCUGCGCCAUCCACGUCCACCACUACUCCACGCGAUAAGAUGACCAAACCAGCCAGCAUUGCCCCACCCACAGGUCGUACACGGGAUAUUCAGUGUCAUCGCUGUAGAGGAUUUGGCCAUGUGAUUCGAGACUGCCCAAACAAGCGCACUUUGCUCAUUCGUGACGAUGGUGAGUACUCUUCCGCUAGUGAUUCUAAAGAAAUUGAACAUGCACUACCUGCCACUAACCAUGCAGCUCAGGCGGAGGUACAUGUCAACCCGGGCGACGCUGAUAGGUAUGAAAGUCUUGUUGUGCAGCGUGUUCUUAGUACACAGGUCGCUUUGCCCGAGAAGAAUCAGCGACACACUCUGUUCCAUACAAAGGGUGUUGUGGAGGAGCGGUCAAUUCGCAUCAUUAUCGACAGCGGCAGUUGCAACAAUUUGGCGAGUACCAUGUUGGUCGAAAAGUUGUCGUUACCCACUCGUAAGCAUCCAAACCCAUAUCACAUUCAAUGGCUUAAUGAUGGUGGUAAAAUAAAAAUCACGCGUUUCGUGCGUGUUCCUUUCUCCAUGGGUGCUUAUUCUGAUUUUGUUGAUUGUGAUGUUAUUCCCAUGGAAGCAUGCUCUUUGUUACUUGGUCGACCUUGGUAAUAUGAUACUGAUAGCUUGCAUCAUGGUCGUUCGAAUCAUUAUUCUUUCAUUUUUAAGGGUCAGAAAAUAAUUAUACAUCCAAUGACACCUGAACAAAUUGUUAAAGAUGAUCUUGCCCGAGCUACUAUAACUACUAAACAACUUGAUCCAUCACCCUCUGUUUCUUCUGAAAUCAAGUUGAAGGCUCCUAUUUUACUUGCUACACGUGCUGAUUUUGAUGAUCUACACUGAUGAGAACAUCACUAUGAGUACGACUACACCAGCAGCACCUCCACGUCAAGCGCCACUUCCUUCAUUAGCUGGGCCAAUCACUCGGGCCCGUGCCAAAGAUCUUAACUUCGUCAUGCUACUGAAGAAUGAGGGCCCAGGAGAAUAGACGACCAGCCCAACUGCGGCCCAUAGUGGAUGACCUAGGGUUGGCCGCCCCUAGGGGCUGCGCCCCCUCUCUCUAUUUAUAUAGGAGCUACGCCUCCUUUGUUCUUCGAGUUUUGUUUUACAUCUAGCUUUAGCUACCCCAGAACACGCACAAAUACGUGUUGUCCUCUGUGAUUCAGAACUCCACCUCGAGUGAUAUUAAGAUUGCUCGCAUCUUUUUCUUGUUCGUUCUUCGAUUGCGCAUAGGAAACGAUCUUCGUGAUCAGGCCGAUCUCGCAUCAGCAAGGUCGGUAACCAUUGGAAGUUGGUUCAGCGAUUGCAUUGGCGCUUCGGGAUUGCUCGUCGUAGUCGGAUCGUGAGGGUCUACUUCCACCAAAUCGGAAUUAUCUCCACUCACCGAAAGAUCGGGCACUCCAGCUCUAUCAAGUGGUAUCAAAUUUCCAGGUUGAUCGGUGAGUUUAUCGAGUGUUUUUUUCUCCUACAGUCCACAAAACCACAUAAAAAUUCAGGUUAGACCUUAUACCAGCACCCUUUUGAGCCUCGCACCUUCUUUCAAUAAUCUGCAUUGUUGAAUUUGUGUGCUUUCGCGUCAUUUGUUGCUGGUCGCAUUGUGUUUUUUCUCACCAUCCUUCUUUCUUCCUUGUUUUUCUCCUUCGGUUACAUCAAACCCUAGCGUGCCGCAACCAUCUUCCUUGUUUUUCUCCUUCGGUUACAUCAAACCCUAGCGUGCCGCAACCAUCUUCCUUGUUUCUCUCCUUCGGUUACAUCAAACCGAGUCAACGCCACAAACCGAGUCAACACCGCUUCCUUAUUUUUCUCCUUCGGUUACGUAAAAAAACAAAAAAAACAAACCGAGUCAACGCCGCUUCCUUGUUUUUCUCCUUCGGUUACGUCAAAAAACAGAAACAAAAAAAAAGAAAACGAAGGAGAAAGGAUACAAAGCGGUUGUCUCAUCUCGGUCGUUUUAAACAUACCUUCCUUAAACCGGGCAUAACUUUUCGCUCGGUUGUUCAAAAAAUCUGAAAUUUUUACAGGAGCUUGUUGACACCAUUCUGAGGCCGGCCAAAUGUUUGGGUUUCGACAAAAUUGUCAAAAAUAUUCAGGAAAAUAAAGAAAAAAUUCGUCAAAGUUCUCGCACGCUUUUCAGACAACUUCCUGAUUUUCUGUAGACCACAUCUGAACUCUGUUUUAGGUGAAAUUUUGUGUAGCUCCUCGUUUGUUCCUCAUUGUGCUGAGAAAAAUAUCAAAAAAUCAUACAAAAAAGAAAAACAAAAUCACUUGUGAUUCCUACUAGUGCCUUUUUGGCCUCGCUAGUACAAUAUUUACGGUACUGCCAUUCUGCUAGUUCCAUCCGUCCUUUGCACUUGUGGCCAGCAAUAUAGUUUCGUGUUUUGCACUGUAAUUCAACUUUGCAUUAUUGUUUGAUCGUUCUAAUCCUUGACUUGAGUGCAGCCUACCCAAAACUCCACAUAUUUCUACGACGAGAAGGUUUCUGUUUCUCCAGGCAAUCGCUCAUCCAAUCUUUCACCGGUUCCACCUGUUGGUUGCAGUUCACCACUGUGGCUUGGUAAGAACGGAUAAGAAUUUGAUAACAGCAUUUCAUUGAGCGAGUUGUCACCACCAUUUCUCUGUUGUCGUCGGUUUUUCUCCUUUUGGUGUUUUGGUGUUUGCGCUAACUAUGGCAGGAGCACACGACACGGUGGAUGCCCAGUUGCUGGAAGUAAGGGGACAAGUUGAUUGACUUGCUGCUGACAUUAGGAUGAUGCAUGAACGGCUUGAUUCAACGGUCACUUCGACGACCGAGCGUUUCAACCAGCUUGACCUUGCUCAAACGGCGACUCGCACCACACUCGACACCAUCCUGGCACGCCUUGAUGCGUUGACCACAAAGAUGGAGCAGGACUACGGCGGUGACACUGAGCAGGACGAUGGAGAUCGUCGUGGUCGUGCACGCCGUGUGGUUCGUCAUCCCUCUAAUGACUUAUUUUCUAAGAUUAAAUUUAAAAUUCCACCUUUUAAUGGCAAAUAUGAUCCUGCUGCAUAUCUUGAUUGGGAGUUAGAGGUUGAACAAAAAUUUUCAUGCCAUGAUAUUGCUGCACAUUCUCAGGUUAAAGCUGCUAUUAGUGAAUUUACUGAUUUUGCUUUAAUUUGGUGGCGUGAGUAUAAAAUGAAACAUUCCACUGCCAUUCCAACCACUUGGGAUCAGUUGAAAGCUGCGAUGCGACAUCGAUUUGUGCCUUCAUAUUAUGCUCGUGAUUUGCUUAAUAAAAUGCAGCGUUUUCAGCAAGGUUCUCAAUCUGUUGAGGACUAUUUCCAGGAGUUACAAAAAGGUAUGAUUCGUUGUGGGAUAUUGGAGGACAACGACGCUGCUAUGGCACGUUUUCGUGGUGGUUUAAACCACGAAAUCCAGGAUAUACUUAAUUAUAAGGAAUAUUAUGAUAUGACUACUUUAUUUGAAUAUGCUUGCAAAGCUGAACGUGAAGUGCAGGGACGCCGCUCGAAGACAUAUUCUAACCCUUUUGCAGGACGAAACUCGACAUCCACCUCAACACCAGUUCCCCCUGCGCCAUCCACGUCCACCACUACUCCACGCGAGAAGACGACCAAACCAGCCAGCACUGCCCCACCCACAGGUCGUACACGGGAUAUUCAGUUUUAUCGUUGUAGAGGAUUUGGCCAUGUGAUUCGAGACUGCCCAAACAAGCGCACUUUGCUCAUUCGUGACGAUGGUGAGUACUCUUCCGCUAGUGAUUCUGAAGAAAUUGAACAUGCACUACUUGUCACUAACCAUGCAGCUCAGGCGGAGGUACAUGUCAACCCAGGCGACGCUGAUAGGUAUGAAAGUCUUGUUGUGCAGCGUGUUCUUAGUACACAGGUCGCUUUGCCCGAAAAGAAUCAGCGACACACUCUGUUCCAUACAAAGGGUGUUGUGCAGGAGCGGUCAAUCCGCAUCAUUAUCGACAGCGGCAGUUGCAACAAUUUGGCGAGUACCAUGUUGAUCGAAAAGUUGUCGUUACAAACUCGUAAGCAUCCAAACCCAUAUCACAUUCAAUGGCUUAAUGAUGGUGGUAAAAUAAAAAUCACGCGUUCCGUGCGUGUUCCUUUCUCCAUGGGUGCUUAUUCUGAUUUUGCCCGAGAAGCAUGCUCUUUGUUACUUGGUCGACCUUGGCAAUAUGAUACUGAUAGCUUGCAUCAUGGUGGUUCGAAUCAUUAUUCUUUCAUUUUUAAGGGUCAGAAAAUAAUUAUACAUCCAAUGAAACCUGAACAAAUUGCUAAAGAUGAUCUUGCCCGAGCUGCUAUAACUGCUAAACAACUUGAUCCAUCACCCUCUGUUCCUUCUAAAAUCAAGUUGAAGGCUCCUGUUUUACUUGCUACACGUGCUGAUUUUGAUCAUCUACACGGUGCUCAUUUGCCAUGCUAUGCACUUGUAUGCUCUAGUGUCCUCAUUUCACUUGAUGAUGCACCAUCUUUGGCUAUUCCCCCUAUGGUUGCUAACCUUUUGCAGGAGUACGCUGAUGUCUUUCCCAAAGACUUACCACCGGGUCUCCCACCGCUUCGUGGCAUUGAGCACCAGAUCGACCUCAUCCCCGGCGCACAGCUUCCGAACCGCGCACCGUACCGUACAAAUCCGGAUGAGACGAAGGAGAUUCAGCGCCAGGUACAGGCGUUGCUUGACAAGGGAUACAUUCGUGAAUCUCUUAGCCCUUGCUCUGUUCCUGUGUUACUUGUUCCCAAGAAAGAUGGGUCAUGGCGUAUGUGUGUAGACUGUCGUGCUAUUAAUAACAUCACUAUUCGUUAUCGAUAUCCUAUACCACGCCUUGAUGAUAUGCUAGAUGAGCUUAGUGGUGCCAUUAUUUUCACUAAGAUUGAUUUGCGUAGUGGUUACCACUAGAUUAGAAUGAAACUGGGUGAUGAAUGGAAAACGACUUUUAAAACGAAAUUUGGUUUAUAUGAAUGGUUGGUUAUGCCGUUUGGAUUGACUAAUGCUCCCAGCACUUUUAUGCGAGUGAUGAAUGAAGUUCUGAGGCCCUUCAUAGGAUUGUUUGUGGUUGUUUAUUUUGAUGAUAUCCUUAUUUACAGCAAAUCUAAGAAAGAGCAUUUGGAACAUUUAAGUGCUGUUUUUGAUGCAUUGCGUGCUGCCCAGUUAUUUGCUAACAUGGAAAAAUGCAUCUUUUGCACACGACGUGUCUCGUUUCUUGGUUAUGUUGUUACUCCACAGGGCAUUGAGGUGGAUAGCAGCAAGAUUGCUGCCAUUCGGGAGUGGCCUACACCGACGACGGUCACACAAAUUCGGAGCUUUCUUGGACUUGCCGGAUUCUACUGCAGAUUUGUUCGUGAUUUUAGCUCCAUUGCAGCGCCUCUACAUGAGCUUACAAAGAAAGAUGUGUCGUUUGCUUGGAGUGAUUCGCAGGAGGAAGCGUUCAGCACUUUGAAAGAUAAUUUAACCCAAGCUCCCCUAUUGCAAUUGCUUGAUUUUAAUAAAGUGUUUGAGCUUGAAUGCGAUGCUAGCUGUAUUGGGCUAGGUGCUGUUUUGUUACAAGAAGGAAAACUAGUUGCUUAUUUUAGUGAAAAAAUAAGCGGUGCUAGUCUGAAAUAUUCUACUUAUGAUAAGGAGGUUUACGCUUUAGUGCGCACUUUGCAUACAUGGCAGCACUAUCUUUGGCAUCGUGAGUUCAUAAUUCAUUCUGAUCAUGAGGCUUUAAAACAUAUUCGUACCCAAACAAAUCUGAACCGUCGUCAUGCUAAAUGGGUAGAAUUCAUUGAGUCUUUUCCUUACAUUAUUAAACACAAGAACGGAAAGGACAAUGUUAUUGCUGAUGCUUUGUCUCGUCGCUAUACCAUGUUGUCACAGUUAGAUUUUAAAAUCUUUGGUUUGCACACUGUGAAAGAUCAAUAUGUUGACGAUGCUGAUUUUAAAGAUGCUUUCGGCCAUUGUAUUAAUGGGAAACCAUGGGGCAAAUUUCACAUGCAGGAUGGGUUCCUGUUUCGCGCUAACAAGCUGUGUGUUCCAGCUAGCUCGGUUCGUCUUUUGUUGUUACAGGAAGCACAUGGAGGCGGUCUCAUGGGGCACUUUGGCGUCUACAAGACACAUGAGGUGUUGGCUGCCCACUUCUUUUGGCCUCGGAUGCGCGCUGAUGUUGAGAGCCUUGUUGUACGCUGCACUACUUGUCAGAAAGCUAAGUCACGGUUGAACAACCAUGGUUUGUAUAUGCCUUUGCCUGUUCCUACUUCCCCUUGGAUUGAUAUUUCGAUGGAUUUUGUUUUGGGAUUGCCUAGAACUAAGAAGGGGAGGGAUAGCAUAUUUGUGGUUGUUGAUCGAUUCUCCAAAAUGGCUCAUUUCAUACCUUGUCAUAAGACUGAUGAUGCUAGCAAUGUUGUUGAAUUGUUUUUUAGAGAGAUUAUUCGUUUGCACGGUAUUCCCAAUACAAUAGUCUCGGAUCGUGAUGCUAAGUUUCUCAAUCAUUUUUGGAGAUCUCUGUGGAAUAAAUUGGGAACUAAAUUGUUGUUUAGCACCACUUGUCACCCUCAGACUGAUGGUCAAACUGAGGUAGUUAAUCGAACUUUGUCUACCAUGCUUAGGGCUGUUUUAGACAAAAAUUUGAAACGUUGAGAGGAUUGCUUGCAUCAUGUUGAGUUUGCUUAUAAUCAUGCAACACAUUCUUCUACAAAGAUGUGCCCUUUUCAAAUUGUUUAUGGUUACUUUCCUAGGGCGCCUAUUGCUUUGUUUUCGCUUGAUGCUGCGGACGCCCCACACAUAGAUGUUGUUGCACAUGUUGAACAAAUGAUUAACCUCCAUGAACAAACUCAACAAAACAUUGCUGCUACUAAUGCAAAAUAUCAGGUUGCUAGUAGUAAAGGAAGAAAACUUGUUACUUUUGAGCCAGGUGAUAUGGUUUGGAUGCACUUGAGAAAGGAUCGGUUUCCUACUUUGCAACGUUCUAAAUUAAUGCCUCGUGCUGCUGGUCCUUUUAAGGUGCUAACAAAGAUUAAUGAUAAUGCUUAUAUCCUUGACCUGCCUGCGGAAUUUGGUGUUUCCACUAGUUUUAUUGUUGCAGAUUUGAAACCAUAUAUGGCCGAGGAUGAGGAAUUGCCGUCGAGGACGACUUCACUUCAAGAAGGGGAGGAUGAUGAGGACAUCACUAUGAGUACGACUACACCAGCAGCACCUCCACGUCAAGCGUCACUUCCUUCAUUAGCUGGGCCAAUCACUCGGGCCCGUGCCAGCUUUAGCUACCCCAGAACACACACAAAUACGUGUUGUCCUCUGUGAUUCAGAACUCCACCUCGAGUGAUAUUAAGAUUGCUCGCAUCUUUUUCUUUUUCGUUCUUCGAUUGCGCACAGGAAACGAUCUUCGUGAUCAGGCCGAUCUCGCAUCAGCAAGGUCGGUAACCAUUGGAAGUUGGUUCAGCGAUUGCAUUGGCGCUUCGGGAUCGCUCGUCGUACUCGGAUCGUGAGGGUCUACUUCCACCAAAUCGGAAUUAUCUCCACUCACCGAAAGAUCGGGCACUCCAGCUCUAUCAUACACGGUGCUCAUUUGCCAUGCUAUGCACUUGUAUGCUCUAGUGUCCUCAUUUCACUUGAUGAUGCACCAUCUUUGGCUAUUCCCCCUAUGGUUGCUAACCUUUUGCAGGAGUACGCUGAUGUCUUUCCCAAAGACUUACCACCGGGUCUCCCACCGCUUCGUGGCAUUGAGCACCAGAUCGACCUCAUCCCCGGCGCACAGCUUCCAAACCGCGCACCGUACCGUACAAAUCCGGAUGAGACGAAGGAGAUUCAGCGCCAGGUACAGGCGUUGCUUGAUAAGGGAUACAUUCGUGAGUCUCUUAGCCCUUGCUCUGUUCCUGUGUUACUUGUUCCCAAGAAAGAUGGGCCAUGGCGUAUGUGUGUAGACUGUCGUGCUAUUAAUAACAUCACUAUUCGUUAUCGAUAUCAUAUACCACGCCUUGAUGAUAUGCUAGAUGAGCUUAGUGGUGCCAUUAUUUUCACUAAGAUUGAUUUGCGUAGUGGUUACCACCAGAUUAGAAUGAAACUGGGUGAUGAAUGGAAAACAGCUUUUAAAACGAAAUUUGGUUUAUAUGAAUGGUUGGUUAUGUCGUUUGGAUUGACUAAUACUCCCAGCACUUUUAUGCAAGUGAUGAAUGAAGUUCUGAGGCCCUUCAUAGGAUUGUUUGUGGUUGUUUAUUUUGAUGAUAUCCUUAUUUACAGCAAAUCUAAGAAAGAGCAUUUGGAACAUUUAAGUGUUGUUUUUGAUGCAUUGCGUGGUGCCCAGUUAUUUGCUAACAUGAAAAAAUGCAUCUUUUGCACACGACGUGUCUCGUUUCUUGGUUAUGUUGUUACUCCACAGGGCAUUGAGGUGGAUAGCAGCAAGAUUGCUGCCAUUCGGGAGUGGCCUACACCGACGACGGUCACACAAAUUCGGAACUUUCUUGGACUUGCCGGUUUCUACCGCAGAUUUGUUCAUGAUUUUAGCUCCAUUGCAGCGCCUCUACAUGAGCUCACAAAGAAAGAUGUGUCGUUUGAUUGGCGUGAUUCGCAGGAGGUAGCGUUCAGCACUUUGAAAGAUAAGUUAACCCAAGCUCCCUUAUUGCAAUUGCCUGAUUUUAAUAAAGUGUUUGAGCUUGAAUGCGAUGCUAGCGGUAUUGGGCUAGGUGCUAUUUUGUUACAAGAAGGAAAACCAGUUGCUUAUUUUAGUGAAAAAUUAAGCGGUGCUAGUCUGAAAUACUCUACUUAUGAUAAGGAGCUUUACGCUUUAGUGCGCACUUUGCAUACAUGGCAGCACUAUCUUUGGCAUCGUGAGUUCAUAAUUCAUUCUGAUCAUGAGGCUUUAAAACAUAUUCGUACCCAAACAAAUCUGAACCGUCGUCAUGCUAAAUGGGUAGAAUUCAUUGAGUCUUUUCCUUACAUUAUUAAACACAAGAACAGGAAGGACAAUGUUAUUGCUGAUGCUUUGUCUCGUCGCUAUACCAUGCUGUCACAGUUAGAUUUUAAAAUCUUUGGUUUGCACACUGUGAAAUAUCAAUAUGUUUACGAUGCUGAUUUUAAAGAUGCUUUUGGCCAUUGUAUUAAUGGGAAACCAUGGGGCAAAUUUCACAUAGAGGAUGGGUUCCUGUUUCGCGCUAACAAGCUGUGUGUUCCAGCUAGCUCAGUUCGUCUUUUGUUGUUACAGGAUGCGCAUGGAGGCGGUCUCAUGGGGCACUUUGGCGUCUACAAGACACAUGAGGUGUUGGCUGCCCACUUCUUUUGGCCUCGGAUGCGCGCUGAUGUUGAGCGCCUUGUUGCACGCUGCACUACUUAUCAGAAAGCUAAGUCACGGUUGAACAACCAUGGUUUGUAUAUGCCUUUGCCUGUUCCUACUUCCCCUUGGAUUGAUAUUUCGAUGGAUUUUGUUUUGGGAUUGUCUAGAACUAAGAAGGGGAGGGAUAGCAUUUUUGUGGUUGUUGAUCGAUUCUCCAAAAUGGCUCAUUUCAUACCUUGUCAUAAGACUGAUGAUGCUAGCAAUGUUGCUGAAUUGUUUUUUAGAGAGAUUAUUCGUUUGCACAGUAUUCCCAAUACAAUAGUUUCGGAUCGUGAUGCUAAGUUUCUCAGUCAUUUUUGGAGAUCUCUGUGGAAUAAAUUGGGAACUAAAUUGCUGUUUAGCACCACUUGUCACCCUCAGACUGAUGGUCAAACUGAGAUAGUUAAUCGAACUUUGUCUACCAUGCUUAGGUCUGUUUUAGACAAAAAUUUGAAACGUUGGGAGGAUUGUUUGCCUCAUGUUGAGUUUGCUUAUAAUCAUGCAACACAUUCUUCUACAAAGAUGUGCCCUUUUCAAAUUGUUUAUGGUUACAUUCCUAGGGCGCCUAUUGCUUUGUUUUCGCUUGAUGCUGCGAACGCCCCACACAUAGAUGUUGUUGCACAUGUUGAACAAAUGAUUAACCUCCAUGAACAAACUCAACAAAACAUUGCUGCUACUAAUGCAAAAAAUCAGGUUGUUGGUAGUAAAGGAAGAAAACUUGUUACUUUUGAGCCAGGUGAUAUGGUUUGGUUGCACUUGAGAAAGGAUCGGUUUCAUACUUUGCGCCGUUCUAAAUUAAUGCCUCGUGUUGCUGGUCCUUUUAAGGUGCUAACAAAGAUUAAUGAUAAUGCUUAUAUCCUUGACCUGCCUACGGAAUUUGGUGUUUCCACUAGUUUUAAUGUUGCAGAUUUGAAACCAUAUAUGGCCGAGGAUGAGGAGUUGCCGUCGAGGACGACUUCACUUCAAGAAGGGGAGGAGGAUGAGGACAUCACUAUGAGUACGACUACAGCAGCAGCACCUCCACAUCAAGCGCCACUUCCUUCAUUAGCUGGGCCAAUCACUCGAGCCCGUGCCAGAGAUCUUAACUUCGUCAUGCUACUGAAGAAUGAGGGCCCAGAAGAAUAGACGACCAGCCCAACUGCGGUCCAUAGUGGACGACCUAGGGUUGGCCGCCCCUAGGGGCUGCGCCCCCUCUCUCUAUUUAUCCAGGAGUUGCGCCUCCUUUGUUCUUCGAGUUUUGUUUUACAUCUAGCUUUAGCUACCCCAGAACACGCACAAAUACGUGUUGUCCUCUGUGAUUCAGAACUCCACCUCGAGUGAUAUUAAGAUUGCUCGCAUCUUUUUCUUGUUCGUUUUUCGAUUAUGCACAGGAAACGAUCUUCGUGAUCAGGUCGAUCUCGCAUCAGCAAGGUCGGUAACCAUUGAGAGUUGGUUCAGCGAUUGCAUUGGCGCUUCGGGUUCGCUCGUCGUAGUCAGAUCGUGAGGGUCUACUUCCACCAAAUCGGAAUUAUCUCCACUCACCGAAAGAUCGGGCACUCCAGCUCUAUCACAGGUGAAUCCUUCACUGAACCAGAUUUCAGAGCCACCAUAUAUAUAGCAAACGUCCCUAGACAUGGCCAACAUGCAGUGAAGCAGUGUGUCCGAGAGCGCCAGCAACAUAUGGACUUCAACACGUGGCUAACAUGCUCUCAUACCCCACCAGUACACAACCUUGGUUAGGACACUGAACCUGGUCCAUUUUCUCAACACAAAUAUCAGUUGGGGAUAUGCUUUAAUAUGUCCAAGAACAGGAUAUUCUUUCCAGCUGAGGGUGGGUUCUAGACCUCAGUUAUACCCUCCACACUUAUCUCAACUAUACACAUACAUGUAUCUCUUUUGUCCCCUACUGCAGACAGCAGACCAACCAAUCAAUUCUCCACUAUUUACUGCUCCAAAAUAGUCCAAAUUAGAUAUUUUUGGUGGAGAGUAGCCUCAAAGUAUCAGUCAUGCACUUCCCCCAUAUGACAGCUUAAUAUGUCAGUGGAGCACAGCAAAGAAAAAGAUUCUUCUUUAGUUACACCUCCACACACUGAAUCACUUCAUCAACCUGCUGCCCCAUUUAAUUCCUCCCAGUUCAGACCCUCUGAUCUUUCAAUUUUUCAUAGCAACAGACCAUGCUCCCUUCACAAAAGUUGUUCUCUAUACAUAGUUCUACCAACUUGGUAUAGAAAUCACAGGUUGAAAAUAUUUAGAGCAAGAGUUAUUGCAAUCCAAAGUUAAGCAAAACACUCAAAAUUCAGUUUCGGAUUUAUUAAACAGCACAAUACUAGGUCUGACAGAGAGUUUUGUCACCCCUUUUUCUCUAGAUUACACACAGUAACAAGUCAAUCCUUUGCAUAAAAGUUGUUCCCCUUCAUAUGGACUUUGACUUUACUACAGAACUCGUAACCAAAAUCUCCAUAGAUUAAUUAUCAUAGAGAUCCAAACUGGGCAACUUGCUGCCAUUCAGGGUUCAGAACUGAAUUAAAAUUCAGUUAUUAACCAACCUGACAAUCCAAUCUUUGAGCAACUAUUUCUGCACUUUUUGUAUGGGAUCAGGUCCACCACCCUAUAAGAAAGUUGUUCGACUGGUCUUCACUUAUUCUACAAACACCACAGCACAAAACCUUAUAGAAUAGCCACAAAUAGGCUUCAAAACUGAUAUCAAAACACUGAAAUUCAGUUACUGUUUCCAAUCUGAAUAUUCAGAAACACAGCAGCACCACUUUGAACCACUCUUUUUCUUGGGUUCCAAUUGUUUCUAGGGGCAAGUUUCUUAAUAAAGUUUAUACUCCUAUAGUUCCUCUACAAGUUUUAUAUAAUGACCAAUAACAAAAGCCUCUUGGAUCCCAAACUACAAUAGCCCAAAGUUUGCUCCAAUUGCUGAAAUUCAGACUCUGUCUGAAAUCCCCACUUUCAGACAGCUCUACUUUAGGCCAGCUUUUAUCUAUGUUCCAAAUAGCUUUAGGGCUAAGUGUAUUAACAAAACUUAUACUCCUCAUGUAUCUCUAUAACUUUGUUAUAAUGAUCAUCUUCAAACAGUUUAUAGAUCAAAUGUUAUGAGGACCCAAAAACAACUAGUUGAUAUUAUUUUCAGCAAACUUCAAAUCUGAUUCAAAACUGAAUUAAACUUUUUACUCCAACUUUUCCUCUAAAACUUGGAAUUCUCCAUACAUAAAAGUUGUUCAACUUACCAAAAUCUACAACUUUGAUAUAUGGACAACUAGCAAAUUCUCUCUAGAUUUAAAACUCCACUUUUGGGCUAGUUGAGGGUUUCAAAUGUGACUCCUUCUCAUCUAGUGAUUUAUCAACUCAAUCCAUACUUCUAAAAGCCAAGUGACUCCCCUUAAUCUCAAAUCCAACUCUAGUAUAUGAAGCUCAUGUCCAAAGUGUCCUUGGUUUAGGAGUUGUUUUGUUUAUCCACAAUUCCAAGCAAGGUUUUGAAAUCUCACUUAAGGUUUUUAAUGUUAAUCCAGUUCCUCAAUUAAUUCUUCCACUCAACCCACCUUUGAAAGCAAAGUAUUACCUUUAAUACUUCAAAUUCCAAGCCAACUUAUUACUUGCUCAAGAGAUGACUUCUCUUCCCAUGUCUUAAGCAAAGUUCUUAAUCUGAGCCCUAUACUCUAAUAGGGCAACACCAUAUUCACUAAAAAAUUUUGACCUAGUGAAUGCAUUCUAGGUAUAUCAAACAAGAUAAUACAAAUGCUUAUGAUGACAUGUCAGAGUUUUAGUUAACGUAACACCAGGGGUGUUACAAAGAUCUACGUGGUUGGAAUAUUAAAUUAUGAAUUGAUUAUUGUACAUCCAAUGAGAAAAUAUACUCUAAAUAAUCAAUUCAACCUUAACCUAGAUUAUACUUGACUAGAGAUCAUGUUUUAACCACAUUAUGAUUAUGGUUGGGUUAGUUUUGAUUUAGCAGAGUUAAUCUAGUAGACAUAGGAUGAAUAAAUUUCUAACUAUAAAAUCAUGCAAUAUGAUAUAAUUAAUGUUGUUACUGCGUAGAUAAUAUUUUUAUGAAGCAAACGUAACUGGAACGGAUUAAAUCGGAGUUAAGACGCAGAAGAUAUGAUUUUUUCUAAGGUUUUCGGGUUUAUCUUAUAGUUAAAAAUCAAUUUCUUGAUUUAUUCCAAGAAUUACCAAUGUCUCUGGAUGGCGGGUACAAUUUUCUAGGAACGCAAGGGCCAAAGUGUUAAAAACAGGGCCUAAUUGCAAGGUUCUUAGAACUGCCUAGCACUGCGGGUUGUUUAGAGAAAAACUCGGGGGGUCUUUGGAGCAAAGAUGUCAGCCGAAGGGUAAUGAGCCAACUGGGGUCGCCCGAUGAAGGAUCAAGGGCCGAGAUUAUACAGCGAAUCGGUAUGCAACCGCGUCCGCCCGAUCCAUAUCUAACGAUCCAGAUCACUCUAGCCGAAGCGUUAGCCACCAUUUAAUCUGGGUCGCCAGCAGCCAGAUCAAUGGUCGGGAUCUAAACACCGAAGAGGUAUGCCCCGUUCUAAUCUCCACCGUUGACUCCCAGAUCUAUGGCCAGGAAUCAUCGCCUAAGCCUAGCCGUCGAUCUCCAUCCUAACGGACGUGACAUCGUCUUGUUCCUCCCAUCGCCCAGGUAUAGGGCUGCCCGCGCGCCACACACGCGUUCGUAUCCUCCCGACGAACCGCAUGGCUGCGCAAGCAAGGGAAUUAGUUACCCGCGGUACCGCGUGCGGCGCAGCUAAAACCUACGCCCCGAGGAAACACUGAUGAAUCACAGGGACGUUCUCUUACCGUUUUCGAGGCACCAGUGUAGUUGUCCACGGAGACUGGUGGCGCGCCGGAUCUCUUGACGUCGACAACGAGGCACCCGGUCUCCGACACAGUGACCCCGUGGGCGAGUCCUCGCGUAGUGCAAGGAUGCACCAUUGUCUGGCACUGCGUGAAGGUUGCGGACGAGCUCAAUUCUCACCCGCGAAUGGACCCACGUCCUUCUACCCUUGUUUCUCUCUCUUAAUGGCUGCAAUCCAAGCAGCGCACACCCGCCGCUUUUGCUCCAGGUCGACCGAGACGGCCAACAGUUAGGACCAUCCAAUUUAUGGGCAAGCAGAGC